CUGAACCCAGGCCAGGAAGAGCAAGACUUGGUUCCAGAAGGCUCUGAAACAAUGUUUGCAGAAAAGCUUCAGAAGCCUAGGGAUGGGUGCACUCCAUGACCUAGUCUCUGAGUAAGUGUUUCUACGAUGUAUGGAGCAGGACUGGGGAGAUGUGGAAAAGGUGUGUAUCACAGGCCCAGGAGGCAGUGCUGGAUGUUGGUAGUUCUGCCUUUGGAAAUGACUUCCUUCUGGCAUUGCCCGAGGCUCCCUCGCUUAUGACGAGAUGAUAAAAGAUGGGACCCAUGCCUAUGGGACCAGAGGAAUCAGAGGAGCAGCAGUCUCCACUGCAGAUUAAAUCAUGGUACAAAGAGGGCUGCCUGGGGGGCUCAGUCAUUAAGCGUCUG